rnacentral:rRNA from 1 species
UACGUAUGUCGCGAGCGUUAUCCGGAAUUAUUGGGCAUAAAGGGCAUCUAGGCGGUAUAUCAAGUCAGGGGUGAAAACUUACGGCUCAACCGUGAGCUUGCCUUUGAAACUGAGAUACUGGAGUACCGGAGAGGUGGGCGGAACUACACGAGUAGAGGUGAAAUUCGUAGAUAUGUGUAGGAAUGCCGAUGAUGAAGAUAGCUCACUGGACGGCAACUGACGCUGAAGUGCGAAAGCUAGGGGAGCGAACAGGAUUAGAUACCCUGGUAGUCCUAGCUGUAAACGAUGAUCACUGGGUGUGGGCAUGUAGAGUGUCUGCGCCGAAGCAAAUGCGAUAAGUGAUCCGCCUGGGGAGUACGGCCGCAAGGCUGAA